rnacentral:lncRNA from 14 species
CCAACCUCCACCACCAUCUCCAUCUUCAUCUUGAGCUCCACCUUCAUCUUAGCCUCCACCUCAAUCCUCACCUCCAUCUUGAUCUUCAUCUCCAUGUCAUCUCAAUACUCACCUCCAUAUCUCCAUCCUCAUCCUCCUGCUCCCCCUGUGCUCCCUCCUAGCACAAGGUGGCAGUGGGGCUGUGCCGGUGGCUCUUUGUCACAGUUGUGUCCUGCUCCUGUCCUCUCGUCCACGAAUGUCCCUGUAACACCACAUCUGUGUGGGUCUAUGUGGGUCUGUGUGGGUCUGUGUGGGUCGUUGCUCUGCGGUGUGCCAGCGUGUGCUGUCCAGCCUCCACCACCACCUCACCCCACUAACCCAUCCAGUGCUCCCAUGACAUGGAGCCCAUGUCACCCGUGCCUGGGAACCAGGCUGGAGCUGUGGUCUAAGCGUGUCCUGGUGCGUGGCCAGGUGCUGGGAGCUGGCACCCCAUGGGCUGAGCUGCCCAUGGCUCCGGGGCUGCCCCUGGGUCCUGCCACAGCAGUGCCCAUGUCUGGGUGUCCCCCUGCCACCCAUGGGUGCUGAGCCCGGGGCAGGUGGUGCCCAGCAGGUCCUGCCCGGGGCCGGUGCAGGUCACAGGCCCCAUGGGCCAUGCCCAGGUCCUCAUCCCGGCUGUGCCUUGGGUGCAGCCGGGGCAGGGGCUGCAGGACCCCCCUGCAGCUCCUCUCUUCUCCCUCCCAAGGGUCUCCAGGGGGAGCGUGGCCCUGCUGGGCUUGCUGGAGCCAAAGGGGAGCCGGUGAGUGCUGUGGGCAGAGGGGAUGUGGGGACACUGGUGCCCGCUGGGCUGCUGGCACUGGGCAGGGGCAGUGCAGGGGGCUCAGUGUUGUCCUCCCAUGCAGGGACCUCCAGGGCAGCCUGGCUACCCAGGGGCGACGGGGCCCCCUGGCCUCCCUGGCAUCAAAGGAGAGCGAGGCUACGUGGGCCCCCCUGGAGAGAAAGGGGAGCUGGGACCCCCCGGCUUGGACGGUCUCCCCGGCCCCAUAGGGCCAGCGGGGCCAAGGGGCGAGCGUGGGCUCCCUGGCAGCGCUGGUGAGAAGGGGGAGCAGGGUUUCCAGGGCCAGCCUGGCUUCCCGGGACCACCGGUGAGUGCAUCCCAAAGGGCUGUGGGAGAUGCUCCAGCAUAGAGUGUGUCCUGGGCUCUGUGUCCCUA